GCCAUAUGAUGUCACUGUAGACUUCUUGAGCACUCUGUGCAAAGAUGACGCACAUCUACCACCCAAGACUGAUGGCU